GACGAACGCUGGCGGCAUGCCUUACACAUGCAAGUCGAACGGCAGCACGGGGGCAACCCUGGUGGCGAGUGGCGAACGGGUGAGUAAUGCAUCGGAACGUGCCCAGUAGUGGGGGAUAACCAGUCGAAAGGCUGGCUAAUACCGCAUACGACCUAAGGGUGAAAGCGGGGGACCGUAAGGCCUCGCGCUAUUGGAGCGGCCGAUGUCUGAUUAGCUAGUUGGCGGGGUAAGAGCCCACCAGGCGACGAUCAGUAGCUGGUCUGAGAGGACGACCGGCCAGACUGGGACUGAGACACGGCCCAGAGUCCUACGGGAGGCAGCAGGGGGGAAUUUUGGACAAUGGGCGCGAGCCUGAUCCAGCCAUGCCGCGUGCGGGAAGAGGGCCUUCGGGUUGUAAACCGCUGUUGGCAGGAACGAAACGGCGCAAGCGAAUACCUUGCGCUAAUGACGGUACCUGCAGAAUAAGCACCGGCUAACUACGUGCCAGCCGCCGCGGUAAAAC
rnacentral:rRNA from 1 species